rnacentral:rRNA from 1 species
AGCGAACGCUGGCGCCAGGCCUAACACAUGCAAGUCGAACGCACCUUUCGGGGUUAGUGGCGGACGGGUGAGUAACACGUGGGAACGUGACUCUAGGUUCGGAAUAACUCAGGGAAACUUGUGAUAAUACCGAAUGUGCCCUUCGGGGGAACGAUUUAUCGCCUUUAGCUCGGACCGCGUCUGAUUAGCUAGUUGGUUGAGGUAAUGGCUCACCAAGGCGACGAUCAGUAGCGGGUCUGAGAGGAUGAUCAGCCACAUUGGGACUGAGACACGGCCCAAACUCCUACGGGAAGCAGCAGUGGGGAAUCUUGCGCAAUGGGCGAAAGCCUGACGCAGCCAUGCCGCGUGAAUGAUGAAGGUCUUAGGAUUGUAAAAUUCUUUCACCGGGGACGAUAAUGACGGUACCCGGAGAAGAAGCCCCGGCUAACUUCGUG